rnacentral:rRNA from 1 species
GACGAACGCUGGCGGCGUGCUUAACACAUGCAAGUCGAACGCUGAAGCUUGGUGCUUGCACUGGGUGGAUGAGUGGCGAACGGGUGAGUAAUACGUGAGUAACCUGCCCUUGACUCUGGGAUAAGCCUGGGAAACUGGGUCUAAUACUGGAUACGACAUGUCACCGCAUGGUGGCGUGUGGAAAGGGUUUUACUGGUUUUGGAUGGGCUCACGGCCUAUCAGCUUGUUGGUGGGGUAAUGGCUCACCAAGGCGACGACGGGUAGCCGGCCUGAGAGGGUGACCGGCGACACUGGGACUGAGACACGGCCCAGACUCCUACGGGAGGCAGCAGUGGGGAAUAUUGCACAAUGGGCGAAAGCCUGAUGCAGCGACGCCGCGUGAGGGAUGACGGCCUUCGGGUUGUAAACCUCUUUCAGCACGGAAGAAGCGAAAGUGACGGUACGUGCAGAAGAAGCGCCGGCUAACUACGUG